rnacentral:rRNA from 1 species
AUGUUAGCGGCGGACGGGUGAGUAACACGUGGGUAACCUGCCUGUAAGACUGGGAUAACUCCGGGAAACCGGAGCUAAUACCGGAUAGUUCCUUGAACCGCAUGGUUCAAGGAUGAAAGACGGUUUCGGCUGUCACUUACAGAUGGACCCGCGGCGCAUUAGCUAGUUGGUGGGGUAAUGGCUCACCAAGGCGACGAUGCGUAGCCGACCUGAGAGGGUGAUCGGCCACACUGGGACUGAGACACGGCCCAGACUCCUACGGGAGGCAGCAGUAGGGAAUCUUCCGCAAUGGACGAAAGUCUGACGGAGCAACGCCGCGUGAGUGAUGAAGGUUUUCGGAUCGUAAAGCUCUGUUGUUAGGGAAGAACAAGUGCGAGAGUAACUGCUCGCACCUUGACGGUACCUAACCAGAAAGCCACGGCUAACUACGUGCCAGCAGCCGCGGUAAUACGUAGGUGGCAAGCGUUGUCCGGAAUUAUUGGGCGUAAAGGGCUCGCAGGCGGUUUCUUAAGUCUGAUGUGAAAGCCCCCGGCUCAACCGGGGAGGGUCAUUGGAAACUGGGAAACUUGAGUGCAGAAGAGGAGAGUGGAAUUCCACGUGUAGCGGUGAAAUGCGUAGAGAUGUGGAGGAACACCAGUGGCGAAGGCGACUCUUUGGUCUGUAACUGACGCUGAG